AACCUCCGCAAUGUGAGAAAUCGCGACGGGGGGAUCCCAAGUGCCAUUCUUAACGGGAUGGCUUUUCAUUAGCGUAAAGAGCUUUUGGAAUAAGAGCUGGGCAAGACCGGUGCCAGCCGCCGCGGUAACACCGGCAGCUCUAGUGGUAGCAAUUUUUAUUGGGCCUAAAGCGUCCGUAGCCGGUUUAAUAAGUCUCUGGUGAAAUCCCGCAGCUUAACUGUGGGAAUUGCUGGAGAUACUAUUAGACUUGAGACCGGGAGAGGUUGGAGGUACUCCCAGGGUAGAGGUGAAAUUCUGUAAUCCUGGGAGGACCGCCUGUUGCGAAGGCGUCUAACUGGAACGGUUCUGACGGUGAGGGACGAAAGUUAGGGGCGCGAACCGGAUUAGAUACCCGGGUAGUCCUAACUGUAAACGAUGCGGACUUGGUGUUGGGGUGGCUUUGAGCUGUCCCAGUGCCGAAGGGAAGCUGUUAAGUCCGCCGCCUGGGAGUACGGUCGCAAGACUGAAACUUAAAGGAAUU
rnacentral:rRNA from 1 species